UGAGGAAUAUUGGUCAAUGGGCGAGAGCCUGAACCAGCCAAGUAGCGUGCAGGAUGACGGCCCUAUGGGUUGUAAACUGCUUUUAUGUGGGGAUAAAGUGCGUGACGUGUCAUGCAUUGCAGGUACCACAUGAAUACGGACCGGCUACUUCCGUGCCAGCAGCCGCGGUAAUACGGAAGGUCCGGGCGUUAUCCGGAUUUAUUGGGUUUAAAGGGAGCGUAGGCUGUCUAUUAAGCGUGUUGUGAAAUUUACCGGCUCAACCGGUGGCUUGCAGCGCGAACUGGUCGACUUGAGUAUGCAGGAAGUAGGCGGAAUUCAUGGUGUAGCGGUGAAAUGCUUAGAUAUCAUGACGAACUCCGAUUGCGCAGGCAGCUUACUGUAGCAUAACUGACGCUGAUGCUCGAAAGUGCGGGUAUCAAACAGG
rnacentral:rRNA from 1 species